rnacentral:ncRNA from 1 species
GAGGGAAGGCCCCUCGGAGCCGGCGAUCAGGAGCGGGCUCCAAACCACUGCGAGCUGCUGCCGUUAAGAGCGGUGGUGGUGAGCGUCGCAGGAAAAGGCGGGAGCAGAUCCCGUCAGGU